rnacentral:rRNA from 1 species
UACAGAGGUCCCAAGCGUUGUUCGGAUUCAUUGGGCGUAAGGGGUGCGUAGGCGGCGCGGUAAGUCGGGUGUGAAAUCUCGGAGCUUAACUCCGAAACUGCAUUCGAUACUGCCGUGCUGGAGGACUGGAGAGGAGACUGGAAUUUACGGUGUAGCGGUGAAAUGCGUAGAUAUCGUAAGGAAGACCAGUGGCGAAGGCGGGUCUCUGGACAGUUCCUGACGCUGAGGCACGAAGGCCAGGGGAGCAAACGGG